GACGAACGCUGGCGGCGUGCCUAAUACAUGCAAGUCGAACGCACUCUCGUUUAGAUUGAAGGAGCUUGCUCCUGAUUGAUAAACAUUUGAGUGAGUGGCGGACGGGUGAGUAACACGUGGGUAACCUGCCCUAAAGUGGGGGAUAACAUUUGGAAACAGAUGCUAAUACCGCAUAAAACCUAAACACCGCAUGGUGUAGGGUUGAAAGAUGGUUUCGGCUAUCACUUUAGGAUGGACCCGCGGUGCAUUAGUUAGUUGGUGAGGUAAAGGCUCACCAAGACCGUGAUGCAUAGCCGACCUGAGAGGGUAAUCGGCCACACUGGGACUGAGACACGGCCCAGACUCCUACGGGAGGCAGCAGUAGGGAAUCUUCCACAAUGGACGAAAGUCUGAUGGAGCAACGCCGCGUGAGUGAAGAAGGUUUUCGGAUCGUAAAACUCUAGUUGUUGGAGAAGAAUGUAUCUGAUAGUAACUGAUCAGGUAGUGACGGUAUCCAACCAGAAAGCC
rnacentral:rRNA from 1 species